GAUGAACGCUAGCUACAGGCUUAACACAUGCAAGUCGAGGGGUAACAAGAGAAAAGCUUGCUUUUCUUGUUGACGACCGGCGCACGGGUGAGUAACGCGCAUCCAACCUGCCUAUAACUAGGGAAUAACCUUGCGAAAGUAAGACUAAUGCCCUAUGACUUCCUUUGGCGGCAUCAAAAAAGGAAUAAAGAUUUAUCGGUUAUAGAUGGGGAUGCGUCUGCGUAGCUUGUUGGCGGGGUAACGGCCCACCAAGGCAACGAUCAGUAGGGGUUCUGAGAGGAAGGUCCCCCACAUUGGAACUGAGACACGGUCCAAACUCCUACGGGAGGCAGCAGUGAGGAAUAUUGGUCAAUGGGCGGAAGCCUGAACCAGCCAAGUAGCGUGCAGGAUGACGGCCCUACGGGUUGUAAACUGCUUUUAUACAGGGAUAAAGUUAGCCACGUGUGGUUAUUUGCAGGUACUGUAUGAAUAAGGACCGGCUAAUUCCGUGCCAGCCGCCGCUGUAA
rnacentral:rRNA from 1 species